rnacentral:rRNA from 1 species
AUGGCCUCGUCCAGUCGGUUGUCUUGGUGGCACGCUGUCGAUGAAACUAGUCCAUGCUGCUUCGGGCACUGGCUCCUGCGAAGAACACCUCAUCGUGUGAAGCACUUGCCGCGCACUGUCCUGCCGGGCGGAGAGAACAGCGCUCCGCGCGCCUCUAUCGCUGGGCUGCAGACCUCGCCGGGCAAGUCUAAGAGGAACAUCUACUUCAGGGUAAGAUCGGCGCCAGCCAUGUCAUGUUGGGAUAAGUUCGGUGGAGGGUCACGUAAGAAGCUUGUUGAGGACAGUCGUUGGACAGAAGUAGACAUAGCCAACAGUUACGCCCUGUUCAUGGGCUACCUGUCCAUGGCCGUCAAAGGUCUUGGUUUCCUGGUGCUUACUUGGACCACCGUCGUUCUUCUUGGCGGUUUCAUUGGCGACCUGCACAACAAUGAUUUUUGGUGUCUUGCAUUCAUUACCCUUGCGCAGACGGCUGGGAUCUUCGAUGUGUUUCUGACUGAAAAGCUGAGCUAUAUUGGAGAUGCAUUUUCUGGCAUCGCAUAUGUUGCAUACGCCGGAAUGUCGUACAACAUAUGGCGAACUGUUCAUGCUCUGGUCUUUGUCAUUUUGUUGUGCCCUCUGGUGGCUGUCUACAUGGGUGGGUUGGUAGUUUCGGCCGUGCUUUCGGUGUGGCGUCUUAUACAACAAGAUUACCAUGCUGACGGAGUCAGAAACCUGAAGAAGGCGCUGGUCGUCUUGUAUUCCCUUGUCCUGCUCCAGGGUGUGAUUUUCUGCUACAAGAUCAUCAAUGGUUGGGCAAAGGGGUCUAUAGUGAAUGCAGUAGUUGACCAAAGAGGCUUUGAUAAGGAUUUUCGUGAUGGGAUAUCGGAUUACAUACGUGAAACAAUGAUCGGAUGUGAAAAGGACCCAUCUUCCGUUAAAGGAAGGAACCUCAUCACAUAUGCUGUGGGCCUGAUGGAGUCUAAGUCGCCUGACGACUACAUUUCCGGGGUAAGGAUCCUGGACGCUUUCGCCAAAAAACUGGAGGAAGCAGUGAAAGAGGUCAAUGGGGUAGACGACCCACACCAAUACACAGGGGAGAAUAUACUCAAGAAACAUCUGAUAAUGUCUGCACCCUCUCCUGAUAUAGUCCAGAAGCUACUGCAGACGUUGGGCCACAUAAGCAUAUAUGACAGAGAGACGAGGGGGCAUGCCGCAAGGGUAGUGGCGAGCAUUGCUCGCGACAUCCAUUUGGAGAAAUAUCCAAAGGCAAUUGGCUACAUAUCUUCCCUCCUUGACACAUACGAAGAAUACAGUACUCUCCAGCCAUAUAGGGGAGACUGGCUAUACGAGACAUAUGAACAAGAUUUCAAGCAAAUAUCCUUGCCGGUGAACCAAGAUGACAUCGUUGAGCAAGGGGACUAUGAUGUUGGCCUUGCGAAAACCUGCAAGAAGCUGCUGGAGGUUGAGAGAAGUGACCAUGACCUUGUGCAGGCGUACAAAAGGCUGGUGGAGCAAGGCUUUCGCAUCCUUCGGAAGCUCGCAGCCAACAAUGACAACUGCAGAGUCAUUUUCAGCACCCCAUGUCUGCUGCCAAAGAUUAUGGCGCCUGUGACCUCCGACCUACUCCACCACCGCAAUGAGGAUGGCCGCAUGAAGCACAUUGACAAUGCUGCAUGUUACAGCAUAGUAGAAGGUUCAAUGAAGGUGAUUGCCCAGCUCACGGCUGCUACAGGGCAGAUAGGCACCAAGCUGCGUGAUGAAAUCUCAUGCAGUAUGGGAUUGAUCACAGCCAUGAGGAUGAUUCUCGAGUGUAAAGAAUGCAAUGAAAUGCUGCAGAAAAUAGCUAUUUGGAUUCUCACGCACGUACACCAGGAUGAAAAUUCCAGUCCAGAGCAUGAAGGGACACAAGAAUUCAUUACGAUGUUGGUUGACAUCAUGACCCAUGAUAAAAAGUACAAGGAGGCUAGAAGGGUGGUAGCAGCUAAAGCGCUGGUGGCUCUAUCAUCCGAAACCAGUAGUGCCAGGAUUAUCAUUAAGUCAAAUAACAAUGUUAUUCACAGUCUGACUAGACUGAUUGUUGAAAAACAAAGAUGCUCACAAAUGGCAGCUGAAAUCCUGGAAAAUGUAUGCAUUCAUUGCAACGGUGAUGUUCAAAGCCUCAAAACGCUGAAGGAAGCUAUGCCCAUUGCGGUUCCAAAGCUGCUUGAAGAAAUACUUUUCUGGCCAACAGAAGAAAGACAUAUAGAAGGAACAGAAGUUAAUCGGCUGAUACCAGAACCCGACGUAGAAAACCAAUGUGAUGAUUCCCCAGAUAAUGGCCAGGCAAACAACAACUCGUUGUCCGCUCAGCAGCAAGGGUACAGCUCGUUUCGCAUGUUAUCUCGUUGCAUCACAAUAUGGGGUGCGUUGAUAAGUGCAGAUCAGGACUUGACAGAUCUAUUUACGGAAAUCCCCCCUGGAGGCGGUGGAAUUAGCUUCGUGAUGAAGCUCAAAGAGAUCGUUGAAAAACAUGAGCUCCCCAGACCCGUCUGCCUGAGAAUAAGGAAGCUUGUCUGUAAGAUGGUCAUAUCUAUGAUGAAUCCCAAAGGCAGUUAUGUCAAUGAUGGGCUGACGAGCUUGAUGGCUGCACUGUCCAGUGCUUCAGAUGACAUGUCUAUUCUUGAUGGCUACAUGGUUUUUGGACCAAGGCCUUUUAGAAGUCUUGCUUCCCUCGUGGAAGAAGCGCAGGUGCUUGUGGACAGAAACAAAGAGCUUUUCCAGAGCCAAACCCAUGCUUCAAGCUAG